rnacentral:rRNA from 1 species
GUGGGGAAUCUUCCGCAAUGGACGAAAGUCUGACGGAGCAACGCCGCGUGAGUGAAGAAGGUUUUCGGAUCGUAAAGCUCUUUCGUUAGGGACGAACGUGCUCUUUGUGAAUAAUGAGGAGUAAUGACGGUACCUAAAUAAGAAGCCACGGCUAACUACGUGCCAGCAGCCGCGGUAAUACGUAGGUGGCAAGCGUUGUCCGGAAUUAUUGGGCGUAAAGCGCGCGCAGGCGGGAUAUCAAGUCUGUCUUAAAAGUGCGAGGCUCAACCUCGUGAGGGGACAGAAACUGGUAUUCUUGAGUGUCGGAGAGGAAAGUGGAAUUCCAAGUGUAGCGGUGAAAUGCGUAGAGAUUUGGAAGAACACCAGUGGCGAAGGCGACUUUCUGGACUGUAACUGACGCUGAGGCUCGAAAGCCAGGGGAGCGAACGGGAUUAGAUACCCCUGUAGUCC